CCUACGGGUGGCAGCAGUGGGGAAUAUUGGACAAUGGGGGGAACCCUGAUCCAGCCAUGCCGCGUGUGUGAAGAAGGCCCUCGGGUUGUAAAGCACUUUCAGUGAGGAAGAACGCCUGGUGGUUAAUACCCAUCAGGAAAGACAUCACUCACAGAAGAAGCACCGGCUAACUCCGUGCCAGCAGCCGCGGUAAUACGGAGGGUGCGAGCGUUAAUCGGAAUUACUGUGCGUAAAGCGCGCGUAGGUGGCUUGAUAAGCCGGUUGUGAAAGCCCCGGGCUCAACCUGGGAACGGCAUCCGGAACUGGCAAGCUAGAGUGCAGGAGAGGAAGGUAGAAUUCCCGGUGUAGCGGUGAAAUGCGUAGAGAUCGGGAGGAAUACCAGUGGCGAAGGCGGCCUUCUGGACUGACACUGACACUGAGGUGCGAAAGCGUGGGUAGCAAACAGGAUUAGAUACCCCUGUAGUC
rnacentral:rRNA from 1 species